ensembl:lncRNA
GUGUCACGACAAGGAAAGCUUUGUGCUCCUUCCAUGUGAUGAGGCAGUGUCCAGGCCCAUUGUGACAGCCACGUGAUGAGGCUUCUGAGCCCGGCUUUGGCCUUCUUCCAGAGGAGGCGGCCAGAUCCUGAUGAAGGGCAGCAGAGGCUGCUGCCAGAUACUCGUCAGGGUGGGCCUUGUCCACCCGGCAAGGAGUGUCCUCAAGGCGCACCUCAGCCCUGCUCAGGAGCCAGGUGCUGUUAAAAUGAGAACUGUGCAGGGAGUUGUCAUAAGAGUAUGUGGUGAUUAUGGCUGAUUGAUGAGUCCAUCCACUUCAGCACUGAUGUUGUGAUUGGCAACAUACCUCUCAAAGUUGGAUGCAAAGUUUUUGCAGUUGUGGAAGAAGAUAAAACAUCUUUUGGACUGAAAGCAAUCAAAGCUGGUCUGGAGUUACUGAGCUCAAGCAAUCCUCCUGUCACUGCCUCCUGAGUACCUGGAAUUAUAGGUAUGUACAACCAGGCCCAGUCCUCAUUUAUUUCUUAAGUGUAAAAAUUGUUUACCUAUUCUAGUAUUAAACAAUAUGAUUAACAAUGUUAAUUGUUGGACUCUACUUUCCUGUGACUUACUUUUCUUCAGGUAGAAAGGCAUUUUCCAAUGGACAUGACAGUAGAUACCUAUAAUCUCAGCACUCUUGGAGACUGAGGCAGGAGAAUCACAAGUUCUAGCUCAGUUUGGGCAACUUAGUGACUUAGCAAGACCCUGUCUCAAAUUAAAAAAAAAAGAGCUGGAUAAGUAGCCCACUGCAAAGGCCCUGGGUUCAAUAUCUGCACUCUUUCUGUCCCUUUAUGCAAUGCAAUGCAAUGCAAACCUAUUGACUGGUGCUACCCACACCCAGGGUGGAGCUUGGAUUAUCCAUAUCAUAACUGUGCUAAACCAAUUUAGUUAUCACAUACUCUUAAUGUCAGUAUCACACAUCCUAAUCCAGCAUCAUACACCCACGAUCCAGCCACCGCCCCAAAGUCCCACCUAUGAGCUCAAGAGGCUUUGGAGGGGGGCAACAUCUAGAUACAAGCCAUAACAAAACCCAUAUUGUUGUUGGGUUUUUUUUUCCAGUUUACAAUAAUUGUGGGCUUUUCUUGGAGUUAGCACUGCUGGCCUGGUCCUUUGCUUCUCCCUGGAGCUGUCUACCCUCUCUGGGCUUACCUUGUGUUAGUGGGAACAAGUUCCCCUCACUAGGAGCUGGGGAUGGCUUUUCAGACUGCCUCUUUUUUAUCCUCUGUACUGUACUCCAUUUCUUUAGCUUCUCCAGAGGUUCUAGUUUUCCUGUCACCUUCCUCUUAAUUCACAGAGAUCUGAUUCCAUUCUUCUUCAAGAAGUUGUUGUUUUCCAAGUGUCUUAAUUUCAGGUCCUGGAGAGGCUGCCAGUCUUCACUCCACCAUUUUUACUCUCUUAAAGUUUGUUUCAAAGGUGGAGAGUAUAUAUACACAUAUAUAUGCAUCUGGACCAUGUUACAUAACUAACUGUAGUCAGUGGCUAUCUCUAGGUAAUAUAAUUAUGCAUUAUAAGUAAUUGCCUUCUGCCUUCUACUAAUUUGAUUUUUCUUAUUCUAUAAUCCAUAUAUAUUGUUUGUAUAAUUAAGAAAUUAAAAAAAA